CGGUGAGGUGCUAGGACAAGGAUU
rnacentral:piRNA from 1 species